rnacentral:rRNA from 1 species
AUUGAACGCUGGCGGCAUGCCUAACACAUGCAAGUCGAACGAGUGGCGGACGGGUGAGUAAUGUAUGGGAAACUGCCCGUUGGAGGGGGAUAACGACUGGAAACGGUAGCUAAUCCCGCAUACCAUCAGAUGUGCCUAGAUGGGAUUAGCUUGGUGGUGGGGUAACGCAUCACCAAGGCGACGAUCUCAAGCUGGUCUGAGAGGAUGACCAGCAACACUGGAGCGGAGACACGCACCAGAAUCGUACGGGAGGCAGCAGUGGGGAUAAUUGCACAAUGAGCGCAAGCCUGAUGCAGCCAUGCCGCGUGUCUGAAGAAGGCCUUCGGGGUGUAAAGUACUUUCAGCGGGGAGGCGUUACCCGCAGAAGAAGCACCGGCUAACUCCGUGCCAGCAGCCGCGGUAAUAC